rnacentral:ncRNA from 1 species
GAAGGUAGGCCCUUCGGAGUCGCCCUGCGGGGGGAGACUUCAAACCGCCUCGUGCUGCAUUAGCUGAAGACUGUUGUGGUGAGCGAUCGAGGAAAAGGCGCCCUUUGAGGCGUCAGGU